AGACCCGAAACCCGGUGAUCUAGCCAUGGGCAGGUUGAAGGUUGGGUAACACUAACUGGAGGACCGAACCGACUAAUGUUGAAAAAUUAGCGGAUGACCUGUGGCUGGGGGUGAAAGGCCAAUCAAACCGGGAGAUAGCUGGUUCUCCCCGAAAGCUAUUUAGGUAGCGCCUCGUGAAUUCAUCUCCGGGGGUAGAGCACUGUUUCGGCUAGGGGGCCAUCCCGGCUUACCAACCCGAUGCAAACUGCGAAUACCGGAGAAUGUUAUCACGGGAGACACACGGCGGGUGCUAACGUCCGUCGUGAAGAGGGAAACAACCCAGACCGCCAGCUAAGGUCCCAAAGUCAUGGUUAAGUGGGAAACGAUGUGGGAAGGCCCAGACAGCCAGGAUGUUGGCUUAGAAGCAGCCAUCAUUUAAAGAAAGCGUAAUAGCUCACUGGUCGAGUCGGCCUGCGCGGAAGAUGUAACGGGGCUAAACCAUGCACCGAAGCUGCGGCAGCGAACGUAUCACCCAAGACAACUUUACGGAGUUGACGAUUGACGGAGCGAAGCGACGUCAAAGCGUUCAUUAAAGUCGAGUUGGCUUAGGGAUACGUUCGUUGGGUAGGGGAGCGUUCUGUAAGCCUGUGAAGGUGUGUCGUGAGGCAUGCUGGAGGUAUCAGAAGUGCGAAUGCUGACAUAAGUAACGAUAAAGCGGGUGAAAAGCCCGCUCGCCGGAAGACCAAGGGUUCCUGUCCAACGUUAAUCGGGGCAGGGUGAGUCGACCCCUAAGGCGAGGCCGAAAGGCGU
rnacentral:rRNA from 2 species